GACGAAGGAUGCAAGCGUUAUCCGGAUUCAUUGGGUUUAAAGGGUGCGUAGGCGGCCCGGUAAGUCAGUGGUGAAAGCCUGUUGCUUAACAACAGAACUGCCAUUGAUACUGCUGGGCUUGAGUACAGAUGCUGUGGGCGGAAUAUGACAUGUAGUGGUGAAAUACAUGGAGAUGUCAUAGAACACCGAUUGCGAAGGCAGCUCACAAAACUGUAACUGACGCUGAGGCACGAAAGUGCGGGGAUCAAACAGG
rnacentral:rRNA from 1 species